ACAAGAUUAGAGAAGUUGAUUUAACUUGGUAGUCUACGAGUGUUAACUAAACAUCAUGCUGGAGUGAAAAGCAGUAGACUAACUCUAGCUGCAAGCUAGCUAUGUCUUUUCUACUGUGACCCUUACUUCAAAUAAUAGUUGUAGAUUGCAUGACCCUUUAUCAGAGCUAGUACCCUUGUCUCACUUGAUGUUUAUUGUGUAGUGGAUCUUUACCGUCUGUUUUGUGAAGUGAUUGAUGGAUGAAGAGUUGCUGGAGCUGGCAGAUCAUCUCAAUGAGAUCUCUCAGAAACUCUUGACUAUUUGUGAGGCUGUUGUGUAUGUCCACAGAUCAGAGGGAUGCAACCACACCUAUACUCACAGUGACACUUGCUACCAGUCAACCAGUAAUAAUCAUAUUCAUCAAAUCAUGGUAGUAGGCCCUCCAUCAAAGCUACGACCCUUAAUUCUUAAUGUUUAUUGUAGAGUGGGUCUUUAUUGUCUGUUUUGACUCAGUGUGAUUGUUGCUUAUCCAUUCUGCAGUCUUUACCAAAUCCACCCACCCUAGUACAGAAUGUGUUUGUUGACUGAUGCAUAUCAUGUACCAUUUGUACUUCAUUUUACGUGUAUUCUUUACAGUAGGUUUUUCACCACGGUAGAGAGGUUAAUUGUCCUUGCAGAUUGUAAAACUACUGAAGUCAAAUUAACCGUACUGUCUGCAGCAACCAAAUUAAGCCACUAUAGUUCUAAUGAAUGUGUCCACUAGCUAGCUACCACCACUAAAAUGAAUCUGAUUAGAGCCUUGCUUCGCUCGGAAUUAUUUUUCGUAGGAAAUUUGUAGGGUACUAUGUGGCUGAGGGUGUGAGGCUCUACUCUCAGGAGACCUGGAGGGUGUGGUCACACAGACCAGGAGAGUGCAGCUGGUAGAGCAGCACAUCCACAAAGACUUAAGUGGUGGCUUUUGUGCUUGGAACACAAAUAUGGACAAGCUAGCCAAAUCCAUGAUAUUUCUGCAGCACAAAUUUUUCAAUCUCCUGCUUGGAGAGCUGAGUGGUGUGAGUGGGUGUGGUGACCGAAUGUCGUCCCUCCUCCCCCUCUAUGCUGAGACACUACAACACAGACACUACCAUCAACACAUCAACACACUGAGACACUGCUCAAACUGGUACUAUGUGACUGAUAUGAGGCUCUACUCUCAAGACGUGGAGGGUGGUCACACAGACCAGAGAAGUGCAGCUGGUAGAGCAGCACAUCAACAAAGUGGUGAACAAGGAUUGUCUGAGACUAUAAUUAUACGUGGGACGAAUGCAUUAUGCGUGUGCCAGUGGGAUCAUGAAGAGUUGCUCUGGACGACCAACCUGGAGGGAGCUGGGAGACCAUCACGAGGAGCUCCUGAGGCUAGUACUGAGAGUGUGAGGCUAUACUCUCAGAAGACCUGGAGGGUGGUCACACAGACCAGGGGACUGCAGCUGGUACUAGAGCAGCACAUCCACAAAGUAAUUUUGACUGAAUGUGCCUUGAGUGCCUCAUGGAUCGUGUGGUUAGAAUCCGGAAUGAACUACCUCAAGAUGCAUUCACAUAUCGGGCGUGUUAUUAUCCGAAGCAGCUCAAUCUUGUUGUGAUGUUCAUGUGAUGUGUGCGGUUGGACUUCUACAUAUCCCAUAGCCAGGCAGCCUGCAUCUGUACUGCAGAGCUAGGCACUAAGGUGAAGGAUUGUCUGAGACCGCACGUAGGACGACUGGUGAGUGUACUGUUGUAGUGUUUCCAUGACGAUGUGUGGAGCUUUAUGGUGUAGUGGGGUAUGGGAUAAAGGUAUGCUAGCUUAUAAUUAUGUACAUGUACAAGGUGUUCGUGAUAAGGGUGCGUGUUUUUAUAGACGUUGUGGUAGAUAAAUGCUGUUUUAAUGUUGCAUGUUGAGAUUGUGUGGAGUGUCUUUAAUUGAAGGUUUGACAUAGCAUUCACAGCUUUUACUUUAUGCUUGCUUUUAUCAUAUAUAGUUUAUAUAAAUGCCUCCAGUCUCCUGAGUUGCUGUGCUAGAUAGCCCAGUCAUACAUCACUACAUGUACAUGCACUGCAUAAUUUUUAUUUGGUUUCUUUAUAUAUGCCACAUGCUUUUAUCAUUUACAUAAUUAUUGGCUGCAGGUAUAUAAAUUAUAUUAAACUGCAUAGUUUCAUAAUUAUUAUAGUUU